GCUAGCUGCUGUGGCUUGUGCCUGUGAUCCUAGCUCCCGGGGAGGCUGAGGCCGGCGGAUCGCUUGAGCUCAGGAGUUCUGGACUGCAGGGGGCUGUGCAGAUCGGGUGUCCGCACUAAGUUUGGCAUCAAUAUGGUGAUCCCUGGGAAGCUUGGGGUUCCCAGGUUGCCUAAGGAGGGUUGAAUUUGCCCAGGUUGGAAACGGAGCAGGUCAAAACUCCUGUGCUGGUCAGAAGUGGGAUUGUGCCUGGGAAUAACCCCUGCAGCAUAGCCUGGGCGAGACAUGGUCUUU
rnacentral:SRP_RNA from 1 species